GCAGUCGAGGGGAACGGCAUCAAGCGCUUGCGCCUGAUGGACGUCGACCGGCGCACGGGUGAGUAACGCGUAUCCAACCUGCCCCACACUAAGGGACAACCCGCAGAAAUGUGGGCUAAUACCUUAUAUUUUCCACCAAGGGCAUCGUCGAUGGAACAAAGAUUUAUCGGUAUGGGAUGGGGAUGCGUCCGAUUAGGUUGUUGGCGGGGUAACGGCCCACCAAGCCAUCGAUCGGUAGGGGCUCUGAGAGGAAGGUCCCCCACAUAGGAACUGAGACACGGUCCUAACUCCUACGGGAGGCAGCAGUGAGGAAUAUUGGUCAAUGGGCGGGAGCCUGAACCAGCCAAGUAGCGUGCAGGAAGACGGCCCUAUGGGUUGUAAACUGCUUUUAUGCGGGGAUAAAGGAGUCCACGUGUGGGCUUUUGCAGGUACCGCAUGAAUAAGGACCGGCUAAUUCCGUGCCAGCAGCCGCGGUAAUACGGAAGGUCCGGGCGUUAUCCGGAUUUAUUGGGUUUAAAGGGAGCGUAGGCCGCGUUUUAAGCGUGUUGUGAAAUGUAGGCGCCCAACGUCUGCAUCGCAGCGCGAACUGGAACGCUUGAGUACGCGCAACGUUGGCGGAAUUCGUCGUGUAGCGGUGAAAUGCUUAGAUAUGACGAAGAACUCCGAUUGCGAAGGCAGCUGACGGGAGCGGCACUGACGCUUAAGCUCGAAGGUGCGGGUAUCAAACAGGAUUAGAUACCCUGGUAGUCCGCACGGUAAACGAUGGAUGCUCGCUGUGUGCCUUUUGUGGUACGCGGCUAAGCGAAAGCGUUAAGCAUCCCACCUGGGGAGUACGCCGGCAACGGUGAAACUCAAAGGAAUUUGACGGGGCCCGCACAAGCGGAGGAACAUGUGGUUUAAUUCGAUGAUACGCGAGGAACCUUACC
rnacentral:rRNA from 1 species